CCUACGGGAGGCAGCAGUGGGGAAUAUUGGACAAUGGGCGAAAGCCUGAUCCAGCAAUGCCGCGUGAGUGAUGAAGGCCUUAGGGUUGUAAAGCUCUUUUACCCGGGAUGAUAAUGACAGUACCGGGAGAAUAAGCUCCGGCUAACUCCGUGCCAGCAGCCGCGGUAAUACGGAGGGAGCUAGCGUUAUUCGGAAUUACUGGGCGUAAAGCGCACGUAGGCGGCUUUGUAAGUAAGAGGUGAAAGCCUGGUGCUCAACACCAGAACUGCCUUUUAGACUGCAUCGCUUGAAUCCAGGAGAGGUGAGUGGAAUUCCGAGUGUAGAGGUGAAAUUCGUAGAUAUUCGGAAGAACACCAGUGGCGAAGGCGGCUCACUGGACUGGUAUUGACGCUGAGGUGCGAAAGCGUGUGGAGCAAACAGGAUUAGAUACCCUGGUAGUCCACGCCGUAAACGAUGAUAACUAGCUGUCGGGGCUCUUAGAGCUUCGGUGGCGCAGCUAACGCAUUAAGUUAUCCGCCUGGGGAGUACGGCCGCAGGUUAAACUUAAAGGAAUUGAGG
rnacentral:rRNA from 1 species